rnacentral:rRNA from 1 species
ACGCUCGACACCUACGGGAGGCNGCAGUGGGGAAUAUUGCACAAUGGGGGAAACCCUGAUGCAGCGACGCCGCGUGAAGGAAGAAGUAUCUCGGUAUGUAAACUUCUAUCAGCAGGGAAGAAAUGACGGUACCUGACUAAGAAGCCCCGGCUAACUACGUGCCAGCAGCCACGGUAAUCUGAGCGGGCUGGCAAGGC